CCCCUGUGACCACGGCAGCUGCGCAGAUGGAGUAAACAGCUACACCUGCACCUGCCAGCCUGGAUGGACAGGACAUGACUGUCACAUAGAUAUUGACGACUGUGCGUCUAACCCCUGUGAUCACGGAAGCUGUGCUGACAGUCUGAACCUUUACUCCUGCACAUGUCAGCCUGGAUGGACGGGCGAAAACUGCCACAUAGAUAUCGAUGACUGCACGCCAGACCCCUGUGACCACGGCACCUGCGCAGAUGGAGUAAACAGCUACACCUGCACCUGUCAGCCUGGAUGGACAGGAAAAGA